GUUUUUACUGGUUUUUAUUGGUGUGACGCAGGGGACCCCACGGCUGUGCCCGCCCUCGUGUGUCCCUGCGUGUCCCCCAGGGGUGACCCGGCCUGGCUGUGACCCCGCAGUGCCACCCUGGUCCCCGUCCUGCCAUCCCUGAUGACGCUGACGCGGGCGGGCGCGAUGGGCCUGGAGGGCGCGGUGGCACUUGGCUUGUCCCCAAGGGUGGCACUGCCCGGCCUGUCCCCCGUGGUGGCACCGCCCCGGGAAGGACAGUCCCUGUCAGGGAUGGUGGCGCUGCCACUGAUGGGUGUGUCCGUGACGGGGGGACUGCCAGUGACGUGUCUGUCCCCAAGGGUGACACCGUCCCUGGAUGGGCACUCCCGGAUGGGGACAGUGGCACUGUCCCUGCCUGGCCAGUCCCUGUCACAGAUGGUGGCACUGUCCCUGGAUGGGCACUCCCUGACAGAGGUGGUGGCUCUGUCCCUGCCAGACCAGUCCCCACGAGGGACGGUGGCACUGUCCCCUCCAGACCAAUCCCCUCGAGGGACAGUGACACCGUCCCUGGAUGGGCACUCCCUCUCAGAGGUGGUGGCUCUGUCCCUGGAUGGACACUCCCUGAUGGGGACAGUGGCACUGUCCCUGCCUGGCCAGUCCCCACGAGGGACAGUGACACCGUCCCUGGAUGGGCACUCCCGGAUGGGGACAGUGGCACUGUCCCUGCCUGGCCAGUCCCUGUCAGAGGUGGUGUCACUGUCCCUUGCUGGCCAGUCCCUGUCACAGAUGGUGGCUCUGUCCCUGCCAGACCAGUCCCCACGAGGAAUGGUGGCACUGUUCCCACCAGACCAGUCCCCACGGGGGACAGUGACACCGUCCCUGUCAGAGGUGGUGGCACUGUCCCUGGAUGGGCACACCCUGAUGGGGACAGUGGCACUGUUCCUGCCAGACCAGUCCCCACGAGGAAUGGUGGCACUGUCCCCACCAGACCAAUCCCCACGAGGGACGGUGACACCGUCCCUGCCCGGCCAGCCCGGGAAGGUGACAGUGGCACCGUCCCUGCCGGGGAUGGUGGCACUGCCACAGGCCAGCGUGUCCCCGAGGGUGGCAGGGCCGGGCAGCCUGGAUUCCACGAUGGUGGCGGUGACCCUGGGGAUGGAGUCCCCGACCAGGACGGUGGCACUGACAAAGACGGGCGUGUCCACGAUGGUGGCAGUGCCCCUGGACAGGCUGGCCCUGACGGGGACGGUGACACUGCCCAGGAUCCUCCUGUCCAUCACGGUGCCACUGAGAGUGACCAGCGCAUCCACGAUGGUGGCAGUGCCCCUGGACGGGCAGUCCCUGAUGGGGACGGUGGCACUGCCAGCUGCCGAGCUGUCCCCAGCGGUGUCACCGGCCCAGAACGGGCUGUCCCUGAUGGGGAUGGCGGCACUGGCGGUGACAGGCGUGUCCACGAUGGUGGCAGUGCCCCUGGAUAGGCUGUCCCUGACGGGGACAGUGGCACUGCCAGCAAAUGGCCUGUCCCCUGGAGUGCCACUGUCCCUGGAGGGACGGUCCCUGGCCGGAGGGGUGCCACUGUCAGUGACCAGCCUGUCCCCAACAGUGUCACUGUCAGUGACCAGCCUGUCCCCAACGGUGUCACUCAGAGUGACCAGCCUGUCCCCAAUGGUGCCACUACUACUGACUGGCCUGUCCCCAACAGUGUCACUGUCUGUGACCAGCCUGUCCCCAACGGUGUCACUGUCUGUGACCAGCCUGUCCCCAACGGUGCCACUCCUACUGACUGGCCUGUCCCCAACAAGGACAGUGACACUGGCAGAGACUGGCAUGGCCCUGACAGUGCCACUGCCCCCAGCUGGGCUGUCCCUGACAGGGACAGUGCCACUGCUCCUGUCCCCACUGUCACUGCCCCUGUGUGAUCUGUCCCUGACAGGGACAGUGGCACUGCCACUGCUCCUGUCACCAAAGUCACUGGGCCUGUGCGGCCUGUCCCUGCUGGGCACGGUGGCACUGCCACUGCUCCUGUCCCCACUGUCACUGUCUCUGAGUGGCCUGUCCCUGCUGGGCAGGGUGGCACUGCCACUGCUCCUGUCCUCAGAGCCACUGCCCCUGUGUGACCUGUCCCUGACGGGGACAGUGGCACUGCCCAGUCUGUCCCCACUGUCACUGGGCCUGUGUGGCCUGUCCCUGACAGGGACGGUGGCACUGCCCAGUCUGUCCCCACUGUCACUGGGCCUGUGUGAUCUGUCCCUGACAGGGACGGUGGCACUGCCAGGCCUGUCCCUUGUGGUGGCACUGCCAGGCCUGUCCCCUGUGGUGUCACUGCUCCUGUCCCCAAAGGUGCCACUGUCUCUGGGUGACCUGUCCCUGACAGGGAUGGUGGCACUGCCACUGCUCCUGUCCCCAACGGUGCCACUGUCUCUGGGUGACCUGUCCCUGACAGGGAUGGUGGCACUGCCACUGCUCCUGUCCCCAGUGCCACUGCUCCUGUCCCCAGUGCCACCGGGCCUGUGUGGCCU
ensembl:lncRNA proline-rich protein 36-like